CCUACGGGAGGCAGCAGUGAGGAAUAUUGGUCAAUGGACGAGAGUCUGAACCAGCCAAGUAGCGUGAAGGAUGACUGCCCUAUGGGUUGUAAACUUCUUUUAUAUGGGAAUAAAAUGUUCCACGUGUGGGAUUUUGUAUGUACCAUAUGAGUAAGGAUCGGCUAAGUCCGUGCCAGCAGCCGCGGUAAUACGGAGGAUCCGAGCGUUAUCCGGAUUUAGUGGGUUUAAAGGGAGCGUAGAUGGGUUGUUAAGUCAGUUGUGAAAGUUUGCGGCUCAACCGUAAAAUUGCAAUUGAUACUGGCAGCCUUGAGUACAGUUGAGGUAGGCGGAAUGCGUGGUGUAGCGGUGAAAUGCUUAGAGAUCACGCAGAACCCCGAUUGCGAAGGCAGCCUGCCAGGCCAUGACUGACGCUGAUGCACGAAAGCGUGGGGAUCAAACAGGAUUAGAUACCCGAGUAGUC
rnacentral:rRNA from 1 species